CGGGACGGGUGAGUAAUGUAUGGGGAUCUGCCUGAUGGCGGGGGAUAACUACUGGAAACGGUAGCUAAUACCGCAUAAUGUCUGCGGACCAAAGCGGGGGACCUCCGGGCCUCGCGCCAUCAGAUGAACCCAUAUGGGAUUAGCUUGUAGGUAAGGUAACGGCUUACCUAGGCGACGAUCCCUAGCUGGUCUGAGAGGAUGACCAGCCACACUGGAACUGAGACACGGUCCAG
rnacentral:rRNA from 1 species